UUGUGCUUAUGCCCAUAGACCGGUGUUGCUAUCAGCUUUAGUCAGAAAUGGAAACAGAUGUUUUGCAAAGGAUAGUUUAUCUUAGAGUCCAACUGUAGCUGACUUUCCUGAGAACAGGCAACUGUUGCUAAGUCAUAGUGGCUCAACCAUUAGUCAUAGAUGGACAUCAAUAUCACCCUCUCCAAGGCUCAGGGAACAUUGCAGAAGAGAUGACAAACAUAAUGUACAAGGAGCUGAAGAGGUGAUGGCUCAUUGGUAAAAGCAUUAGCUGUUCUUUCAGAAGGACAAAGUUCAAUUUCCGGUACCCAUGACAGGCUCCUCUGAAUUUGCUGGAGCAGAGUCCUCAGUUUCCCAGCAUCCAGGAGGGGCAAGAUUUCACGGCAUACAGCAACUCCUCAAGAACUUCCCCCCAAUUUUACUGGUACCGACAGGUGCCCAGGGAAGGUCCUGUCAUCCUGACGACGACACCAGUCAGGAGUGGAGAAGUAAAAGAGGAACGGAAGAUAACCGCAGGAGUUUGGUGAAGCAAGGAAGAACAGCUUCCUGUUUGUCGUCAGAGCCCAGCUUAGAAAUGCAGGAAUCUUCUCUGUGCAGGAGCUCACUGCUCUGGUGGCCUCUACUACCUGUCCCCAACCCCUGCAGCUGCAGACUCUUACCACUCUGUCACGAACCUCUAGCUCUUCCUCACCAGCUAUUGGCAUGAGCAAUGGUGGCAUCCCAACCCCUCCUUGCCUCCUGGACCCAUUUUUUCCUGCCUUUCCAGAAAACAUGGACCUCAAACAUGCCUUCUCCUAUAAGAUGAGGCCGUGCAUGUGGCCUCCUUCUAAGAAUCAAUAACAAUGUCAGCAAACAGUCACCCAAGCAUGGGCUUCGCUACAGAAAGAUUCUGACCCAUGAUGUGGUCACGGAUCUCAGGACCGCCUACAGAUGUGUUUCUGAGUAAUGAGUUGUGAUCCCAGAUCUGUUUUCCAUGGUGAUUUCACUGUUGUGGUAAAACCCUAAGGUUCAGUCUUCUCCAGCCUCUUUUCCUCUUGCCGCACAGUCGCACAGCCAUGAAGAAACGUGCAAGUGUAACUGUGACUGCAGCUCCACCUCGGGAGAGCCUCAUGUCACCCCAGAUGAAUCUGGACAUUUUAAAGAGCCAGGAGGCCAUUGAAUCACUUGCUACUGUAGCCAACCUUAGUCCUGACUACAGUAAGAGAUGCUCUGCAGUUUCUCUUUGCAUGUGUGAGUACAGUGGGAGUGUAAGACAUUGUGCUAUUUUGCAAAAUAAGAGAUCUUUUAAUGGAUGUUACAUAUUUCACAAAAUAUUGAUAUUCUUAUAAUGAAAAAAACUCUCAUUAGCAUGACCUUAUUUUUAAAAGCCCACAUCAAUUUCCUACAAUUAUGGAAGACUCUGGGCUCCAGUUUCCUCUAAGUCUUGUGAUUGAGCCAUUAUCAAUAUAAUUUCUCUUCCUCCUCUCCUCCAAGUCCUUCAUCUCACCUCUCCCCCAGACCCUCCCCACCCCUACUCCCCUGUCCAUUGC
rnacentral:sRNA from 1 species